rnacentral:hammerhead_ribozyme from 1 species
AUCCAGCUGACCAGUCUCAAAUAGGACGAAACGCGCGUUCUGGAU